rnacentral:rRNA from 1 species
CGCGGGAUUAGAGUUUGAUCCUGGCUCAGGACGAACGCUGGCGGCGUGCUUAACACAUGCAAGUCGAGCGGUAAGGCCCUUCGGGGUACACGAGCGGCGAACGGGUGAGUAACACGUGAGCAAUCUGCCCUUCACAUCGGGAUAACCCCCGGAAACGGGAGCUAAUACCGGAUACGACCACUUCAGGCAUCUGAUGGUGGUGGAAAGUUCUGGCGGUGGAGGAUGAGCUCGCGGCCUAUCAGCUUGUUGGUGAGGUAAUGGCCCACCAAGGCUUCGACGGGUAGCCGGCCUGAGAGGGUGACCGGCCACACUGGGACUGAGACACGGCCCAGACUCCUACGGGAGGCAGCAGUGGGGAAUAUUGGACAAUGGGCGAAAGCCUGAUCCAGCAACGCCGCGUGAGGGAUGACGGCCUUCGGGUUGUAAACCUCUUUCAGCGCAGACGAAGCGAAAGUGACGGUAUGCGCAGAAGAAGCACCGGCCAACUACGUGCCAGCAGCCGCGGUAAUACGUAGGGUGCGAGCGUUGUCCGGAAUUAUUGGGCGUAAAGGGCUCGUAGGCGGUCUGUUGCGUCAGGAGUGAAAACUCGGGGCUUAACCCCGAGCCUGCUUCUGAUACGGGCAGACUAGAGGUAUGCAGGGGAGAAUGGAAUUCCUGGUGUAGCGGUGAAAUGCGCAGAUAUCAGGAGGAACACCGGUGGCGAAGGCGGUUCUCUGGGCAUUACCUGA